GAUGAACGCUGGCGGCGUGCCUAAUACAUGCAAGUCGAGCGAACAGACGAGGAGCUUGCUCCUCUGACGUUAGCGGCGGACGGGUGAGUAACACGUGGAUAACCUACCUAUAAGACUGGGAUAACUUCGGGAAACCGGAGCUAAUACCGGAUAAUAUAUUGAACCGCAUGGUUCAAUAGUGAAAGACGGUUUUGCUGUCACUUAUAGAUGGAUCCGCGCCGCAUUAGCUAGUUGGUAAGGUAACGGCUUACCAAGGCAACGAUGCGUAGCCGACCUGAGAGGGGGAUCCGCCACCAGGGGGAGGGGAAGAGGGUCAAAACUCGGAGGGAGGCAAGAGGCAGGAAUCUUCCGGAAGGGGCGGAAGGCAGGAGGGGACAAGCCGCGUGAGGCAAGAAGGGCUUGGGAGCGUAAAUGAUUUUUAUUUGGGAAAAACAAAGGUGUAAUAAACGAGGCAAUGCUGGCAGUAACCGAAGAAAAAGCCCCGGGCAAACCAGG
rnacentral:rRNA from 1 species